rnacentral:rRNA from 1 species
UACGUAGGGUGCAAGCGUUGUCCGGAAUUAUUGGGCGUAAAGAGCUCGUAGGCGGUCUGUCGCGUCGGAUGUGAAAACUCGGGGCUCAACCCCGAGCCUGCAUUCGAUACGGGCAGACUAGAGUGCGGUAGGGGAGACUGGAAUUCCUGGUGUAGCGGUGAAAUGCGCAGAUAUCAGGAGGAACACCGGUGGCGAAGGCGGGUCUCUGGGCCGUAACUGACGCUGAGGAGCGAAAGCGUGGGGAGCGAACAGG